CGCGAUUCGCCCUUCGGGGUGCACCAGGCGCGAAAACUUUACAAUGCGGGAAACCGUGAUAAGGGGACACCGAGUGCCAGCAUCAUAUGCUGGCUGUCCGGGUGUGUAAAAUACACCUGUCAGCAAGGGCCGGGCAAGACCGGUGCCAGCCGCCGCGGUAACACCGGCGGCCCGAGUGGUGAUCGUGAUUAUUGGGUCUAAAGGGUCCGUAGCCGGUUUGGUCAGUCCUCCGGGAAAUCUGACGGCUCAACCGUUAGGCUUUCGGGGGAUACUGCCUGGCUUGGAACCGGGAGAGGUAAGAGGUACUACAGGGGUAGGAGUGAAAUCUUGUAAUCCCUGUGGGACCACCUGUGGCGAAGGCGUCUUACCAGAACGGGUUCGACGGUGAGGGACGAAAGCUGGGGGCACGAACCGGAUUAGAUACCCGGGUAGUCCCAGCCGUAAACGAUGCUCGCUAGGUGUCAGGCAUGGCGCGACCGUGUCUGGUGCCGCAGGGAAGCCGUGAAGCGAGCCACCUGGGAAGUACGGCCGCAAGGCUGAAACUUAAAGGAAUUGGCGGGGGAGCAC
rnacentral:rRNA from 1 species